ensembl:lncRNA
UUACAAGUGGGCAUGGGAUUUUAUUCUCAGUGCAUGGCAGUACUGGUUUCUGCUCAUCAGCAAAAAAGCUUUAUUGGUUCCAAGAAAUUAUUCCUUUUGAAAUUCCUCUUUUCUUCCCGCCUCAGUGGAACAACACAUUUGAAUUUCAGAUUUGCCAGUUCAUAGCAUUUUCCCUAAGAACCGUAUAAAUACAUGCAAAACAUUGUACAUAGAGUUUAAAUAAUAUCAAAAUGCAAAUACAGAUCAGGCACGCUGUUAAGCUGAACUGCAAAUGAUGGCCGCACACACCAGGGGAAACACUGCUUCGAUACCACCAUUUGUUUGUCAUGCAGAUCACAAUAGUCAAUCUUUUGUUUGGUUUUCUUUUUUGUACAAAAAAUACCAGUGCUUGUUAUACUAGUGAUUGCAGAAGAAGAAACUCAAAAUCCUAUGUGCGUGCUGAUUUGAAAAGAACAACGUGGAUAGAUUUGUUGGCACAUAUAUAUAUAUAUGGCAUAUUCACAUAUGGCAUAUAUACAUAUGGAGAAAAACGUGAACGAAAGGCCGAUUCAUUUAAGGGAGCUAAUCUCCCUCCAUCUUUCCUAAUCAAGAGGAAAGGGAGCCAAGUGUGGUAGUGCAUGCCUGGGAGGCUGGUUAACUCUGAGGAAGAGGCGGAAUGGCUUAACAGCAGGCAUUGUCAGUGCCCACCUCCACUAGUGCAGUGGGGUGGUCCCUAGGUCUGAAAGGUGAGCAUGUGUGCAGACGGGUGGUGCCACGGGUGGCUUCAAUCAUAAGGCAAGGGAGGUAGGAAAGAAAGGAGAGCUACACUGAGAGGUCUUCCAGCAUGCAUUCGUGCUUUGCCACAGCCCUCUAGGUUUUCGCGCAGUGAGGUAAUCGCUCGGAUUUAUCUGCCUGCAAACUCUCCCCCUCUAGCUCCAAAGGGAAGAAAAACCCCAAACCCUAAAGAAUCCACAAAUGGACGGAUUUCUAGAUGGCUUCUUCAAUAUUUUCAGGGAUGGGAGAGUCAUUUCAGAGGAUAGAGGAUGCCUAUGGGAAAGAGUCGGCCCUGAGGCUGUCACCCAGGACUAGAACCAGCCAUGGUUUUCUCUACUUGGUGUUCUGUCUCCCAUCUAAUGUACUGAACAAGACCUUUCUAGGGGAGGAAGGAAUCACAACUCAGAUCCUUGCACAAAAACUCAUUAAUGGAAAACUCCAGGGGGAUCAAGGAGUGAGAGAACCAUAAAAAACGCAAACUACAAAUGGAGAGCAUCCUUGCAGACCAGGAGAUUGUCUUUGGUACCACUCUGCUAGCUCAUUUCUCGAGAGACACAAAUCCAAUAGAAGGCCCCCAAUCCUAACCACUAGCUACAAAACAGCCUGGCGGUUCAUCUCUACAGGGCGGAGACGGGGGCACACAUUCACUUCUGACAGCUGUGUCUCUUUUUGUUGGAUGUUCUCCCUCACUAUCCACAGUUUACUAUUCACUUUCCUAGCUAUCAAGACAGGAAUCUAGGCUGAUGUUUUCUCCUUCUUCCCAUCAGACCCUUUUAAAAUCCAAAGCACCAUUUUGGGGAAAAGCAUUAUUAACUUAUGCCAUAUUUACUCACUGCCGGUUGGAUCACUGAAACUGAAUAGAAAAAACUUAUAUAUAAAAACAUAUCCACAUAAACACUUAAACUUAAUUCCAUAUCAACACAAUUUAUAUUAAAAAGUCUAGAACCCAACAAAUUUUUCCCCUAAGUAUAAAGAUGGCUGUUUGGAGAAAGGAAGUACAGUGUAUUGGUUUUUAAACCAAUUACAAAUAUACUAAGUCACCUGUCAUGUCAAUCAGCUGGUUAUGUGCUCCCUUCCACAGGGUUACAUGACGGCACUUACUUUAUUUUAAAUCGUUUAAACAAAAUACAUAUGGCUGACUCAAAAAUAUCAGUUUCUGAUCUAAAGAAAACUAUAUUUUUUGCAUAAUAUUUCUAUAUUUUCUCUCUUACUAUGGAAACUAGGAGACACACACACACACACACACACACACCAUUGACUUUAAAAAAGUAGACACAAGACCUCAGGAGUAACCUGUCAGGCACCAUGAGAGUCUUUUUGGGGCAGGAAUGGUAAAAUGACCUCCAAAGCUUGGUAUUGGCUUGCUUCUUUAGAUGAUCUGAGGUAAUAAAAGACUUGACAGAAUUAAAUCUUCCAAUGUACUUACUAAAUAUGUGUGUGAACACUCAACACCUUGGGUGAGCUGGUUUCUUUCCCCAUGGGUAUUUAAGACAGAGAAAAGAUUGCCGAAACAUGUUAACUCUCAAAAAACCAAACUCAAAGUUGUUUCCCUGUAAUGAUGGAUUACUAGUAAUGAUGAUGUGUAGGGGCUAUUUUUUUUUUAUUCUUCUUACCUAGGACAACUCAGAUGCAAGGGCCAAGGGAGGGUGGAUCUAGAAGAAGCGGCUGGAUGGACAGGUUCAGGCCACUUUCCCUUCCCAGAUGGAAAUGCGACAGUCCCUAAGAGCCUUAGUGCCUCCUCCUUACUCCCAACACUCUGGAAGGGCGGGGGGGGGCUUCACUGAUCUAAGGGGAGGUGGGAAUCGGGGACAUCAGUCAGCUCCACCUUCACACCACAGCGAAAGUCAGUAUCAGCAGGGAUAAAAUGGAGCUCCUGCAAAUGUGGCUCCACCUUGUCUGGUAAAAGUCUCAGAUAAGCCCUCAAGUCCUGAGUGGCAGGUGGACAAGGGGCAAGAAGGGCAAGAUGGCACAGGGCUUUCCUGGAGCACACUGCAGAGAGCACUCAAAGGGAAUGUGGGAGAGAGUGAGAGAGAGGUGGAGGAGGAAGAGGAAGCGGGGCUCUCCGGGAUGGGUGUUUUGCUCCUUAAGUCGGCACAAUGCCAUGGGAGCCUCCCCUUUGGAGGUCUAUUUACAAAAUCAGAAUGUUUGCAAAAGGCCGGAACAUUCUGAGUCUGAACAAACCACAGACCUCACAAAGCGCAGAAUUAGGAAACUGAAGAGAAUGUCAAAGCUGAUGCCCAGGCACCCAAGCUCAAGGUUUCUGGUGCCUGCAGGGAGGUUUCCUUACACCCUGCCAGCGUGACUCUUCGGCUUUUCAAUACUCCCUCAACAAUCAGGUCUUGCCCUGGAAGAGCCCUGGAGAUGGCUUUGAAAGCAGCAGUUACCCCAAGGAGGACCCCGUAAGUCUUAUUUGACGGUCUAUCUUGUCCUAGGCCUGCCAGCUUCUGGUCCUCAAACUCCAGGACCAACUAGUAGGCAGCACCAUACUAAAUGCAUUCUUUUGCCACCACUUUAGCAACACAAAGACGCUCAGGCCCAUAGCAAAAACUGCAUACACUUGUAUUACAUCUGUAUGAUCCAUGGUCAAGACUGCUCUCCCUGGCACUUAAGGACCACACACACCUGACAACACAGCAGUUUGGAAGAAGACACACUAACCUGGCAACAACAGGGAAGCAAUCUUAACAGUUAUUAAUGGCUUCAAAAGGACUCUUUUAGCAAAGAAACCCAUCUGCCUCUAGAACCAAGUCAAGGGUUCUAUGGGGACCCUAAAGGAGAAUGGUCAAAGUUGAAUCAAUUUACGUCCUUUCCAUUCUCUUAAAUUCCUAACUUUUUAAAAAGCGGAAGAGAUGGAAGAUAAGGAUCACAAAAGUCCAAAAGAACAUUAGGGGCAGAAAAAGCUAGAGGCCUUUAGUUGUAAGUUUUCAAAGUGGUUUUUAAAAUACUCUGCUGGCUGAUUUAUUUAUGCAUUCUAUCCUUAAAUCCACAAAUUUCAUUUGUGGAAGUUUGUCUCUAAAGCCCCAGUUUACAAAUGGCAGGACUCAGAGGAUAAAAUCCAGAAGUUGGGACAUGUCCAAACACUGGGGAGGAUCUGGGUCGGGGGAUGCCAGGAGGGCUGGCAGCAUUCCUUUACCAAUGACAACGGAUGCCCCCAAGGAGUAGAGUCUACAGUUACCGGCCUGGGGUUUGACUGGGUCCUGCUACAAACUCAAGUUUAAGUUGAAAUCCUUGUAGGUCUGUGCUCUUGCUUCAUCAGUUGGGGGUUCUCACACACGUGGGAGCAGCUGGCAUGACAGUUAAAGUCCCAUCCUCACCUCAGAGAUGAGACAGAUGGAAAAGGAAAUAGGGACAACAGGGGUGGGAGUCAGAGAAUGAAAGUUCAAACCGACGUCUCCAGGUUUUGUAGAGGGCUGUCCGGAAUGGGAGCCAACAACGUGUACUUGGUUGCAGUCCACCACACGCGUUUUGGUUAGCAUGUGGGGUGACCUCAUCAUCCAGCGGGAGCACCCUAGUCCCAGUCUUAGAAACCUUUUCAAGAUCUUCAUCCUCUUGUUCAUCCAACAGUGGUGUUCAGUGGCAACUCCUCUUCUAUGGCGAAUUCAGGGUGGGUCAUGAAGUUGUGGAUGGAGUUUUGGUUCUUGGGUUUCUGAAUGCUUUCAUGGAGGGAGCUAUGGAAUGCUUUGAC